GGCCCGCCCACCAAGCAUGGAAGAGCAUUAGCACUUCAAAGUUGCAUUGGUAAUACCCAUUGUUAGUUCCAGUGUAAGAAAUUAAGGUGCUUUGAGAAAAGAGUAAGGGCAAAUAAGCCACAAGGAAAACAAAGCAGGAAACUCCAUAUGAUUUUAUAUUUUUCUAUUCUCAGUUCAAAGCAGAGGCCCCUCAGAGAUGAACACUAGGUACAGAACAAGACUCCUGUCAACCACACUUAGUUCAAGCUGAAGGAACCCGGCCUCUCUUUGCUAAUGUGUUAUUGAAAAUUGGCAUUGCUCAUCAUUAUGGAAACAAAAUUCCCAACACCAUAAUGUUAGUUCAAAGAAGGAAAACAGCAAUCAUUUCCAACACUGUUGAUUUGGAACCCAUUGUUUAAUUCCUCAUGAAUUAAAGCAAAAGACAAUCAGAAAGGCAAUUACCAGUAAGAACUAAAGGUAUCGGCUUCAUUUAUUAUAAAAUAUAAUAAAUUUAAACUUAAUUUAAAAAUCCAAAUGUGGGUUAAGCUUUUGUUUUUCAUUCCUUGAACAAUUUAAAGUUUUAAUAUAAAUAUCUUCUGCUGCAAACAAGACCCUAGAGUCACAGAAGUUUCAGGCUUAAAUCUGCGAGUGUUUCUUUGGCACGUUUAGCUGAGAAUAUGAGAUGGGAAAUGUAUGUGAUUUUAUUCAAUGGGUUCUGAUUAUGUAAUAAAGGGCAAAGGCCUGGGAAACUUUCACAUUUCACUUCCCUGUGUUGGGAUUAAUUUAAUAGUAUCCACUUUCCUGCCCAGAUAAUAAGCUAAAUUCCCAACUGCCCACUUGAAAAAAAUAUGUAUAUAUCUGAGUGCAUGUGUGUAUUACAUAUACAAUUUAGUCUCUGAAUAUACAGAACACUCAAAUCAAGCAGUUGGUUGUGUUAUGAUUUGUAACAUUUUUGGUAUUUAGCAUAAAAAUCAUCUUCUAAAAAAGAGUGUAUAGUCAUUGUAAAUAAUGUUUGAGAAUUGAAGUUCUUG
rnacentral:lncRNA from 1 species